rnacentral:rRNA from 1 species
AUGCAUGUAUAAGCAUGAGCCGAAUAAUGGUGAAGCCGUGAAUGGCUCAUUACAACAGCCGUUGUUUCUUGGAUCUUGAUUUACUUGGAUAACUGUGCGUAAUUCUAGCCGCUCAUACUUGCAACCAAGCCUCCAACCUUGCGGAAGGAGCGCAUUUAUUAGACCAAGACCAAUCGGGCUCUGCCUGACUUUUGGUGACUCUGAAUAACUAUGCUGAUCACACGGUCUAGCACCGGUGACAUAUCUUUCAAGUGUCUGCCCUAUCAACUUUCGAUGGUAGUUUAUGUGCCUACCAUGGUUGUAACGGGUAACGGAGAAUAAGGGUUCGACUCCGGAGAGGGAGCCUGAGAAAUGGCUACCACAUCCAAGGAAGGCAGCAGGCGCGCAAAUUACCCACUCUCAGUUCGAGGAGGUAGUGACGAAAAAUAACGAGACGGUUCUCUAUGAGGCCCGUCAUCGGAAUGGGUACAAUUUAAACCCUUUAACGAGGAUCUAUUGGAGGGCAAGUCUGGUGCCAGCAGCCGCGGUAAUUCCAGCUCCAAUAGCAUAUGCCAAUUCUGUUGCUGUUAAAAAGCUCGUAGUUGGAUCUUUUCCGAGGAGCCAGUCUGCCUAAAGGGUAUGUACUGGUUUCCAAGGAUUUUUUUGCUGGUUUUCCCGUGGUGCUCUUUACCGGGUGUCACGGGUGGCUAGCGCUAUUACUUUGAAAAAAUUAGAGUGCUCAAAACAGGCGUUACUGCCCGAAUAGUGGUGCAUGGAAUAAUGGAAUAGGAUCUCGGUUCUAUUUUGUUGGUUUUAGGAGCGCGAGAUAAUGAUUAAGAGGGACAGACGGGGGCAUUCGUAUUGCGGCGUUAGAGGUGAAAUUCUUGGAUCGCCGCAAGACGAACAACUGCGAAAGCAUUUGCCAAGAAUGUUUUCAUUAAUCAAGAACGAAAGUUAGAGGUUCGAAGGCGAUCAGAUACCGCCCUAGUUCUAACCGUAAACGAUGCCAUUUAGCAAUCUGCUGGCGUUAAUCAUGACCCAGCAGGCAGCUUCCCGGAAACGAAAAUCUUUCGGUUCAGGGGGAAGUAUGGUUGCAAAGCUGAAACUUAAAGGAAUUGACGGAACGGCACCACCAGAUGUGGAGCCUGCGGCUUAAUUUGACUCAACACGCGUAAAACUCACCCGACCCGGACACCGUCAAGGAUUGACAGAUUGAUAGCUCUUUCCUGAUUCAGUGGGUGGAGGUGCAUGCCUGUUCUUAGUUGGUGGAGUGAUUUGUCUGGUUAAUUCCGAUAACGAACGAGACUCUAGCCUGAUAAAUAGUUCGCGGAUCGUUCCGUCCCCCGUACUUCUUAGAGGGACAAGUGGCAUAUAGCCGCACGAGAUUGAGCAAUAACAGGU